AGCAGUACCGCUGAGGUCCUUUUGCCUGUGGUGGUAGCCUCGUUUUUUGUUUUUUUGUUUUUUUGUUUUUUUUUUUUUUGCUGUUUGCAGGUAAGUCUUGCAGCUGCUCGCUGUUUGGGUCUACACAGUCUUAAUGAGCUGUAAUACGUGAAGGUCUGCAGCUUCACUCACCAGGAGCAAUGAACAACUCCAGACGCGCCUCCUUAAGAGCUGCAAUACACCGCGAGGGUGUGCAGCCUCACUCCUGAACCAGUGAGACCACGAACCCACCAGAAGGGAAAAACUCUGAACACAUCUGAACAUGAGAAGGAACAAACUCCGGAUACGUUGCCUUUAAGAAGUGUAACACUCACCCCGAGGGUCUGUGGCUUCAUUCUUGAAGUCAGACCAAGAACUCACCAAUUUGGGACACAGCUUACCUCCCUUCCUCCUGAGUGUGGGGUGGCCUUAGUGAUUCACUGAUACUAGAACGUGUCAGAAGCGAAGGUGUGCAACUUCCAAGACUAGGUCGUAAAAGGCCUUGUGUCUUCCUCCUUGCUCUGUUCCUGGGUUCUUUUAAUCUGGAAAGCCAACUGCCAUGCCCUCAUAUAAGGGCACUUAAGCGGCCUUGGGGAGAAGACCACAUGGUGAAGAACUGAGACGUCUUGUCAACAGCCAGGUAGCUCUGGGCCAAUGACCAAACACAGAAGGGAUAUUACCAGCAGGUCAGCUCUUCAUCCUUUACAUCAUUAACCCCAGCUUUACCCUGGCUGUUGUGUGGAGAAUGAAGUGGAGAGAAGAGCAAGGAGGUACUGCCGUUAUCUAAGGGAGGAAUGAUGGCUUGCACAAGGGCGGUGGCAGCACAGAUGGAGGUAAGUGGAUGGAUGUGAACUAUAUUGAGGAGGAAAAGCUGGGAUUGGAGUUAGAUUGGAUGUGGAGACAGCAAGACAGAAAAAGGCCUGAGGGGCUGGGUGCAGUGGCUCACACCUGUAAUCCCAGCACUUUGGGAAGCUGAGGUAGGUGGAUCACUUGAGGUCUUUGAGACCAGCCUGGCCAACAUGGUGAAACCCCAUCUCUACUAAAAAUACAAAAAUUAGCUGGGCUUAGUGGCACACACCUGUAAUCUCAGCUACUCAGGAGGCUGAGGCAGGAGAAUCACUUGAACCCGGGAGGUGGAGGUUGCAGUGAGCCAAGAUCGUGCCACUGCACUCCAGCCUGGGCGACAGAGUGAGACUCUGUCUCAAAAAAAGAAAAAGGUCUGAGGGAUGACUUUAGGUUCCUGGUUGGGGAAACUGGAUGGAUAGCAGAGGUGCCAUCCACUGAGAUGAAGAACCUUGGAAAAGCACCAGUUUUCUGGGGAAAGAUCAUGAGUUCAUUCUCUUCAAUAGUUAAUUUGAAGUGUCUUUGAAAUAUACAAGUAAAGAUGUAUUGUAUACAGUCAGAUAUGGGCCUAGAGCUCAGAGACUCAAGGCCAGAGAUGCAGAUUUUAGGACUGUAUUAGUCAGGGUUGGCUAAUAUAUAUAAUGGUUAAGAAAGAAAAAUCACAAGAAAGAAAAAGAAGAUCUGAACAAUGCUGUCAACCACUUGACCUAACUGACAUUUGUAGAACACUCCAAGUACACAUUGUACAUUCUCCAAGAUAGACCAUAAAACGAGUUGGGCCAUAAAACGAGUCUCAAUACAUUUCAAACUAUUGAAACCUUCGAUAAAUCUUAAUUUAUUGAAAUUAGAAGUCAAUUACAGUAAGAUAUCUGGCACAACCCAAAUAUUUGGAAAUUAAAUACACACUUCCAGAUAACCCAUGGGUAGAAGAAUAAGUCACAAAGAAAAUGAGUAAUUAAAAAUUAUUUUGCACUGAACAAUAAAUAAAAGUAUAAUCUAUCAAAAUUUGUGAUUUACAACUAAAGGAGUGCUUAAAGGAAAAUAUUUAGCUUUAUUAGGAAAGAAGAAAGAUGUAAAAGUAAGGAUCUAAGGUUCCACUUCAAAAAGCUAGGAUAAAAAAGAGCAAAGUAAACUUUAAGUAGAAGAAAGGAAAAAAUAAUAAAAAAACAGUCAAUAUUUGUGAAGCAGAAAACAUAUAAGAAGAGAAAAUUAACAAAGCCAAAAGCUGGUUCAUUGAAAAUAUCAACGAAAUUUAUAAACUCCUAGCUGGCUAGGUUGAUUAAAGAGACAGCAUGCAAAUUAUAAAUUUAGGGAAUGAAAGGAGAUAUUGAUAGUAACAGGAGGCAGUCAAAUGCCUCGGCAGACAGGAGCAGGUCCCUGGUGAAGCCCCACCUCCAAACCAAAGACAGUUUAAAGCCUGAAAGCCAAACUACAAGUUAAAUCCUUGGACUGGAUUAAGAAUUUGUCCUCCUGUUUGGUGUGCCUUCCUCUGAUUGAUCCCCACCUUUCACCUAUUUUACAUAUACCUACCCUUUCCUAAUUGGUUUUCUACACUGUCAUGCCCACCUUUGAGUGAUCUCUUAAUUUUAACCUUCUUUGCAUACUCACAAACCAAUCAGCACACACUCCCCAUCCUGUGCCUAUAAAGACUCAGUCAGUAGAAGGGGAGAUGGCCUGACUUCGAGGAAGAGACAACCUGACUUUGGGGAAGACAACCUUCCCUUCCCAUCCCCUCUCCAGCUCCCCUCUCCACUGAGAGCUGUUUCCGUCACUCAAUAAAAUGCUCUGUCUUCACCCACUCAUUGGGUCCCAAGCUCUUGUCCAGCAUCCAGGCAGAAUGAGGUCAUGCAGGUGAUGGAAGAGUUUCUUCCUGGAUGCUGGAUAAGACCUCAGGACCCACCAAGUGCAGGUACCCAGAAAAGGCUGUCACAAUGGCCCUUUGCCCUCAGCAGCGGAGGGCAGCUACCCCACAUGACGAGGCAAGGGGCCAACUAAGCUGCUAACACACCACUGUCCAUCAGACCAUGGACAGUGGAACUAAAAGACUACUAUAACACACCCCCUUUGGGGCCUCGGGGUCAUGGGCAACCUCACCUGGGUGUCACUGUUCCCCUCAAGGUGACACACCUGGUCUGGCCACAGGCCCCCCAAACAGAGCUUGCUCCUGUGGCAAGCCAGAUCCUGCAGCGAGCCAGAUCCUGCACUCACUCUCUCACAUGCUCCCUCCCUCAAGGGGCUGAGCGCAGUGAGCCAAAUAGAUGGGGCGCCCCUGCCACAAGUUCGGCAAAGGGGCCGAAAAAAAUCCUGCAUCAAUAUCACCACAGAGCCCACAGGCAUUAAAAGGUAAUAAGAAAAUAUUAUGAACAACUUUAUGCCAAUAAAUUUGGCAACUGAGACGGGCAAAAUGGCUUGAUAAGAUUACAAAAUGAAAUCCAAAAUCUAAAUAGUUCCAUCUAUUAAAGAAAUUGAAUUCAUUAUCAGAACAUUUCCCACAAAGAAAACUUCAGAAGAUGAUAGAUCGUAAAUCUUUUCAACGUACACACAAAGGGUAACUAUGUAGAAGAGGUAGAUAUUUAAUUGGCUGUGUUGUGAUCAUUUCACAAUCUAUAUCAAAACAUCAAGUUGGGGGAUGGGGGGCUAGGGGAGUGAUAGCAUGAGGAGAAAUACCUAAUGUAGAUGACAGGUUGAUGGGUGCAGCAAACCUCCAUGGCACAUAUGUAACAAACCUAUGUAUACCUAUGUAACAAACCUGCACAUUCUGCACAUAUAUCCCAGAACUUAAAGUAUAAUAAAAAAUAUUAUUUAAAUAAAACUAUUGUUUAGAGUUAAAUCAAGUUGUACAGCUUAAAUAUGUACAAUUUUUAAAUGUCAAUGCUAUAUAAGUAGAGCUUUUGAAAAGAAAGAAAAGACAGAAAGAGAGACAAAGAAGAAAGAAAGAGGAAGGAAGCUCCUAGCCCAGAUAGUUUCCCUGGUGAAUUCUAUCAAACAUUUGAGAAAGAAGUUACACAAAUCUUAAGCAAAUUCUUUCAGAAAAUAGAGCAGGAAAGAACUCUUCUCAGUUUGUUUGAGGAGGCUAGCAAUAACCAGAUACCAAAAUCUAACAAAGAUGUUACAAGUAAAUAAAUAGAUACAUAAAUAAAUAAUGCCAAACCUCAGUAUCUUAAUUCAGUUAAGAUCUAUUUCUCCAAAGCGGAUACUAGGGAAGACUGCUCAUCAUAGACCCUCAGAGACCAGGCUGAGGAAACUUCCAUCUCAGCAGGUGCUUCCACUAUGAUUAAGGCAGAGACAGGGACAUCGUGAAUUGCAAGUUGACUCUGAAAGAUUCUGUCCGGAAGUGACGUGUCAUUUACUCUCAUCUUCAUAACCAUGUCCCAAGGAGGUGAGGAAGUCCUAACAUGUUCUUGGAAGCAGAGGAGAAGGAAGAGCUGUUAUCACAAGGGUCACAAAUGUAUAUAUAGUAACAGAAGAGCCUAAAUAACUAACACACAGCCCAGGCACAUGGUGAAACCCUGUCUCUACAAAAAAUACAAAAAGUAGCCCGGUGUGGUGGCAUGCACCUGUUGUCCCAGCUACUCAGGAGACUGAGGUGGGAGGAUCGCUUGAGCCUGGGAGGCGGAGGCUGCAGUGAGCUGAGAUUGCACCACUGCACUCCAGCCUGAGUGACAGAGUGAGACCCUGUCUCAGAAAGAAAGAAAGGAACACAGACAACUGCCCACUGAGAAAGUACAGCGUGGACAGCAAGGGGGCCCUGGGCCAGCGCUUGAGGAACCCCACCAGCCUGGCAGUGGACCUGAGCUGGCGAAGGAGGCUGAAACGGGGCAACAGAGAGAAAGAGGCGAAACAUCUGGUGAGUUCAAUGAGAAACUUGACCAUCUGUGUCUAGUGUGAUUGUGGGUCAUGCAAGGUGAGGACUGGAACAACUAGGAUGUCACUGGCACCGCAGCAAGACUUACGUCAAUGGAGUGAUGGAGAGGAACCCAGAAUGGAAUGAGCAAGAACUGAGUGAGGGGAAGAGACGAAAAUGGGGAAUGUGGAAAAACCUUUCCAGAAGCUGGUCGUGAAGGGAAGGAAGGCAGUAACUGGAGAAGGUCUUGUGUUGGAGAGGGUUGGUUGGUUUGUUCUUUCAGUGGGAGAGACCUGAAAUGUUUAAAUGUUGAUGGGAAGGGUCUGGUUUGGAGGAAGCGGUUAAAUAUAGAAGAGAAGCGAGUCACCCAUAGUAUAAGGCUCCUGGAAGCUGGAGGCUGAAAGUUGACAGUGAAGAAUGCCAUGAGGUGGAAUGGGGAGGCCAUGGCAAGUGCCACAUCUUAGCAGGUGCGUAGUGAGAAAAGACACAGCCCCUGAGAGACAGGCUGAGACUCACUGGUCCCUGGGGCCACUUCCGCUCUGACUUCCAGUUCCAGUUCUGGUUCUUCUGCGUGUCCUUACAACAACCUCCUUUUUCCCGACGAUAUGUGUUCAUUCAACAAAUAUUUAUGGGCCACCUACUACAUGCUAAGCCCAGUCCUGACAGCUGCAGAGAGGGCAGUCAGCAAGACCGAUGCCCGUCCCUACCCUCAGAAUCUUUUCUUGCAUCCGACGAAGCUGAGUGACCAAUCCCUUUGGCAAUACAGAUGCCCUCCAUUUGGAUUGGUUUAUGAGAGAGCAACAAAUAGAGGCAACAGAUAUGAGGGUCAGAAGAUAGUGCACUUCCCAUAACAGGAAGGGGGCUCUUGGACACAGCUCCUCUUCUGGAAGGUCUUGGGGGCUUUGUUGCGGGGAGGUGUCCAGAUGUGUCUCUGGGGUAACUGGAUGCAGAGAUUCGCUCUCUGCUGUGAAGGUGCUGAGAUAGGCACGUGCCUGUGCUGAAUCCUAUACAAAGAAAGCGAAAGAAACCAACAAAUUGACCCCCCCCACACACACACAUAGAAGCAUCUCCACUGUUUGUUUGCUGUUGCUGUUCUUUUCUUUUUUGGUGUAGAAAUUGAGCACAUACACAAAGGAAUCUCCACUGCCCAUCACUCUAGCUGCUGCUGACCUCUCCUCCAAACACUCCUAUGUGCUCCAUGUGUCCCAUUUGACUACGAGUCACAUACUUUCUCUAACAUCUUAGUUUCAGCUACUCAAAACCAGCACUGAUUCUGGUCUUUUCUGUUAUGUGGGCCCAUACAUUUCUUUCUAUACUUCAGUUUAAAAUGAAUUUUUUUGGCCAGGCAUGGUGGCUCACACCUGUAAUCCCAGCACUUUGGGAGACCAAGGUGGGACGAUCACCAGAGGUCAGGAGUCCAAGACCAGCCUGGCCAACAUGGUGAAACUCUGUCUCUACUAAAAAUAAAAAAAUUAGCUGGGCGUGAGGGCAGACACCUGUAAUCCCAGCUACUCGGGAGGCUGAAGCAGGAGAAUCACUUGAACCCAGGAGGCAGAGGUUGCAGUGAGCCAAGAUCGCGCCACUGCACUCCAGCCUGGGCAACAAGAGCAAAACUUCUUCUCAAUAAAUAAAUAAAUAAAUAAAUAAAUAAAUAAAUAAUAAAAUAAAUAAAAUAGAAGUUUAAAUCUCUUGUAGUGAAAAGAAUCUUAUCUAAGAGACCCAGAGUCAAGUCCUGCCCCACCUUACCUGCCUGCCACCCUGGGCCAAGCACCCCAUCAAG
rnacentral:lncRNA from 1 species